AUGCCAACAAAACCGGCGUUGCUCAAGAAACAUUACAAAAUGCAAUUCGCAAAGGAAGCAAGGUCAUGACAGAGCAAGAAGCUAGACAGAUUCUUGGCGUGACAGAGGAAACUGCUUGGGAGGAUGUUCUAAAGAAAUACGACACUUUAUUUGAGAGGAAUUCUACGAAUGGUAGUUUUUACCUUCAAUCAAAGGUUCACAGGGCUAAAGAAUGUUUAGAGGCUGCGUACCGGGAUAAAGGCAACAAGACACAAGACUUUGAAUACCAUGACAAAUGAUUCAAAUUCAAUCAUUCACUGUGGAAAAAUAUGGAAGGAUCACCGCGAACAGCAACCGGCCUUUUGAAGCACUCCACCACAAGCGAGGAUGUUGACCAAUUAUAGCACUUCGAAGCACUUUUUAGUAUUAGUUUACUGCAAACAAUACAAUAGGAAGAAAUGGACUUGUGAAAUCAACAAUUCCAUAGACCGAAACAAGCAAAGUUCUGCUUGGAUCCACUUGACACGAUUUCUACAGGGGAGAAACAUUUUUGUGGUAAAACCAUGAAUGCGGAAAAGCAUAAAUCGGGUUUCGACAGUCCAAAACCAAUCCCAUUUUAAAAUUAUUACAUGCACAUAUUGGAUGUUGACAUGAUACAACAAGGAAUUUGGCUGCAUAUCGUGGCAAGACCCCUAUCACAUUUCUGCCUAUUAUGAACUA